UACGGAAGGUCCGGGCGUUAUCCGGAUUUAUUGGGUUUAAGGGGAGCGUAGGCCGGAGAUUAAGCGUGUUGUGAAAUGUAGAUGCUCAACAUCUGCACUGCAGCGCGAACUGGUUUCCUUGAGUACGCACAAAGUGGGCGGAAUUCGUGGUGUAGCGGUGAAAUGCUUAGAUAUCACGAAGAACUCCGAUUGCGAAGGCAGCUCACUGGAGCGCAACUGACGCUGAAGCUCGAAAGUGCGGGUAUCGAACAGG
rnacentral:rRNA from 1 species